GGUUUGAUCCUGGCUCAGAUUAACCGCUGGCGGAUGCUUUACACAUGCAAGUCGAACGGCAGCACGGACUUCGGUCUAUAGUAAGAGUAUAACUGGUAGUAACAUCGGAACGUGCCUAGUAGCGGGGGAUAACUACGCGAAAAGCGUAGCUGCAUUACCGUAUUACCGCCCUUCGGGGAAAGCGGGGGACCUUCGGGCCUCGCACUAUUAGGAGCGGCCGAUAUCGGAUUAGCUAGUUGGUGGGGUAACGGCUCACCGGCGGCGACGAUCCGUAGCUGGUUUGAGAGAUGACCAGCCACACUGGGAUCGAGACACGGCCCAGACUCCUACGGGAGGCAGCAGUGGGGGGAAUUUUGACACAAUAGGGAACUCCUGAUCCAGCCAUCCCGCGUGUGCGAUGAAGGCCUUCGGGUUGUAAAGCACUUUUGGCAGGAAGAAACGGCACGGAUAAUACCCCGUGCAACUGACGGUACCUGCAGAAUAAGCACCGGCUAAUACACUGUGCCAUGCCGGUAAUACGUAGGGCAAGCGUUAAUCGGAAUUACUGGGCGUAAAAGCGCAGGCGGGUUCGGAAAGAAAGAUGUGAACCAUAGAAAUAACUUGGAACCGGGCAUUUUUAACUACCGAGCUAGAGUGUGUCAGAGUGGAGGUGGAAUUCUGCGUAGCAGUGAAAUGCGUAGAUAUGCGGAGGAACACCAUGGCGAAGGCAGCUUCCUUGGGAUAACACUGACGCUCAUGCACGAAAGCGUGGGGAGCAAACAGGAUUAGAUACCCUGUAGUAGUCCACGCCCUAAACGAUGUCAACUAGCUGUUGGGGGCCUUCGGGCUCGCAGUAGCGCAGCUAACGGUGUGCGUGAAGUUGACCGCCUGGGGAGUACGGCCGCGAGAUUAAAACUCAAAGGAAUUGACGGGGACCCGCAGUACAAGCUGGUGGAUGAUGGAUUAAUUCGAUGCACCAAGGAAAAAACUCACUCACCCUUGACAUGUCUGGAAUCCCGAAGAGAUUUUGGGAGGUCGCUGCAAGAGAACCGGAACACAGGUGCUGCAUGGCUGUCGUCAGCUCGUGUCGAGAUGUUGGCCAAGUCCCGCAACGAGCGCAACCCUUGGUCAUUAGUUGCUACGAAAGGGCACCUAAUGAGACUGCCGGUGACAAACUGGAGGAAGGUGGGGAUGACGUCAAGUCCUCAUGGCUCCUUCAUGGGUAGGGCUUCACAACGUCAUACAAUGGUCGGGACAGAGGGUCGCCAAUCCAGGGAGCCAAUCCCAGAAACCUGAUUUCAGUCCGGAUCGUGGCGUCUGCAACUCGACUGCGUGAAGUCGGGAAUCGCUAGUAAUCGCGGAUCAGCAUGUCGCGGUGGAAGAUGUUCCCGGGUCUUGUACACAUCGCCCGUCACACCAUGGAGUGGGUUUUACCAGAAGUAGUUAGCCUAACCGGCAAGGAGGGAAGGACGUACCACGGUAGGAUUCACAUUCAGCAGCCGUAACAAGGUAG
rnacentral:rRNA from 1 species